AAUCAACGCUGCGGCGUGCCUAACACAUGCAAGUCGAACGCGAAAGCCCCGAAAGGGGUGAGUAGAGUGGCAAACGGGUGAGUAACACGUGGGUGACCUGCCUUAGAGUGGGGGAUAACGUCCCGAAAGGGACGCUAAUACCGCAUAACAUCCUGCCUUUGAAGAGGUGGCGAUCAAAGCUGGGGACCGCAAGGCCUAGCGCUCAAAGAGGGGCCCGCGCCUGAUUAGCUAGUUGGGGGUAAUGGCUCACCAAGGCAACGAUCAGUAUCCGGCCUGAGAGGGCGGACGGACACACUGGACUGAGAUACGGCCCAGACUCCGUACGGGGGG
rnacentral:rRNA from 1 species